rnacentral:rRNA from 1 species
GUGCCAGCCGCCGCGGUAAUACGGAGGGUCCGAGCGUUAAUCGGAAUUACUGGGCGUAAAGCGUGCGCAGGCGGUUUGUUAAGCGAGAUGUGAAAGCCCUGGGCUCAACCUAGGAAUAGCAUUUCGAACUGGCGAACUAGAGUCUUAUAGAGGGGGGUAGAAUUCCAGGUGUAGCGGUGAAAUGCGUAGAGAUCUGGAGGAAUACCGGUGGCGAAGGCGGCCCCCUGGACAAAGACUGACGCUCAUGCACGAAAGCGUGGGGAGCAAACAGGAUUAGAAACCCGGGUAGUCC